rfam:Treponema denticola ATCC 35405, complete genome.
GUUUAUCUUCGAGUUUGCCUUUCAGGCAAACAUCGUAUUAUUAUAUGUGCUUUUUCACUUCGUUGCAAAAGCACGGAAAAAACUUUUUUCAUGAUUUGAUAAUCCUUGCAAAAAGUUUUUAUGGGA